AGUGAGCAUGAGCAUCUCCAAUGAUAAACCAUCAUUACCCUGAGCAUUGGAUUUCAGACCUUGAAUGAUCUUAAGUACUGCAUUCGGUUCAACAGUAUGCAAGCAGAAGGAGGACGAAUUUUUAUGCCUAUGGAAUUGAAAGAAAGUAAGCUCUGAUAUGGAUACUCUAUCUACCCCUGGCACAUCGAGGAAAAAAUCAUUAAUAUGGUCCGCAUCAAACGUAGAUGCCAAUCGCCUGAAGGUCGGCACUCAACAGGUCCGGGAGUAUACUUUUAAGAGGCCUGUAUGACACCCAGCGAGGUUUAGGCCUCUCCUUCUUAAUUUUGGACUCCAUCAGAAGCAUUGCAUGUCCUCCCAAAUCAGGAUGACAGUCAACUUGGCGGGAGGCCGAAGACUCUCUCGAGGUCCCCCAUCGAUCGGAGCUGAUAUGCCUGCGCACCAUCACCUCUUCGGGCAAAUAUUCUGCCAUUCUUCGUCCACGAGUACCGCCACUGAAGCCUGCGGCACUCCUCGCGCACGCGGUGGUAGAGCUGGCGGUUGGGACGAGUCAGCCUCUCGUUGAUGAAGACGCGCGCGCCGCCCUCGCCGGCCAGGCCCCGGCGCACGCGCGCGGCCUG